CCCCUGGUGGUCUAGUGGUCAGGAUGCAGCACUCUCACCGCCGUGGCCCGGGUUCGAUUCCCGGUCAGGGGA
rfam:Manacus vitellinus contig6071, whole genome shotgun sequence.